GAUGAACGCUGGCGGCGUGCCUAAUACAUGCAAGUCGAGCGAACGGACGAGAAGCUUGCUUCUCUGAUGUUAGCGGCGGACGGGUGAGUAACACGUGGAUAACCUACCUAUAAGACUGGUAUAACUUCGGGAAACCGGAUCUAAUACCGUAUAAUAUUUUGAACCGCAUGGUUCAAAAGUGAAAUACGUUCUUUCUGUCACUUAUAGAUGUUUCCGCGCUUCAUUAGCUAGUUGGUAAGGUAACGGCUUACCAAGGCAACGAUGCAUAGCCGACCUGAGAGGGUGAUAGGCCACACUGGAACUGAGACACGGUCCAGACGCCUACGGGAGGCAGCAGUAGGGAAUCUUCCGCAAUGGGCGAAAGCCUGACGGAGCAACGCCGCGUGAGUGAUGAAGGUCUUCGGAUCGUAAAACUCUGUUAUUAGGGAAGAACAUAUGUGUAAGUAACUGUGCACAUCUUGACGGUACCUAAUCAGAAAGCCACGGCUAACUACGUG
rnacentral:rRNA from 1 species